AACGAACGCUGGCGGCAGGCCUAACACAUGCAAGUCGAGCGGACCCUUCGGGGUUAGCGGCGGACGGGUGAGUAACGCGUGGGAAUAUGCCCUUCUCUACGGAAUAGUCCUGGGAAACUGGGGGUAAUACCGUCUACGCCCUCUGGGGGAAAGAUUUAUCGGGGAAGGAUUAGCCCGCGUUGGAUUAGGUAGUUGGUGGGGUAAUGGCCUACCAAGCCGACGAUCCAUAGCUGGUUUGAGAGGAUGAUCAGCCACACUGGGACUGAGACACGGCCCAGACUCCUACGGGAGGCAGCAGUGGGGAAUCUUAGACAAUGGGGGCAACCCUGAUCUAGCCAUGCCGCGUGAGUGAUGAAGGCCUUAGGGUUGUAAAGCUCUUUCAGCUGGGAAGAUAAUGACGGUACCAGCAGAAGAAGCCCCGGCUAACUCCGUG
rnacentral:rRNA from 1 species